rnacentral:rRNA from 1 species
CUACGUGCCAGCAGCCGCGGUAAUACGGAAGGUCCAGGCGUUAUCCGGAUUUAUUGGGUUUAAAGGGAGCGUAGGCCGUGGAUUAAGCGUGUUGUGAAAUGUGGACGCUCAACGUCUGAAUUGCAGCGCGAACUGGUUCACUUGAGUAUGCACAACGUAGGCGGAAUUCGUCGUGUAGCGGUGAAAUGCUUAGAUAUGACGAAGAACUCCGAUUGCGAAGGCAGCUUACGGGAGCACAACUGACGCUGAAGCUCGAAGGUGCGGGUAUCAAACAGGAUUAGAUACCCUGGUAGUCCGCACAGUAAACGAUGGAUGCCCGCUGUUGGUACCUGGUAUCAGCGGCUAAGCGAAAGCAUUAAGCAUCCCACCUGGGGAGUACGCCGGCAACGGUGAAACUCAAAGGAAUUGACGGGGGCCCGCACAAGCGGAGGAACAUGUGGUUUAAUUCGAUGAUACGCGAGGAACCUUACCCGGGCUUGAAUUGCAGAGGAAGGAUUUAGAGAUA